rnacentral:rRNA from 1 species
UCAGUACCGUGAGGGAAAGGCGAAAAGAACCCCGGGAGGGGAGUGAAAUAGAUCCUGAAACCGUGUGCGUACAAGCAGUAGGAGCUCGCAAGAGUGACUGCGUACCUUUUGUAUAAUGGGUCAGCGACUUACUGUUCGUGGCAAGCUUAACCGUAUAGGGGAGGCGAAGGGAAACCGAGUCUGAUAAGGGCGCAUAGUCGCGGGCAGUAGACCCGAAACCGGGUGAUCUAGUCAUGGCCAGGGUGAAGGUGCCGUAACAGGUACUGGAGGCCCGAACCCACGUCUGUUGCAAAAGACGGGGAUGAGCUGUGAUUAGGAGUGAAAAGCUAAUCGAACCCGGAGAUAGCUGGUUCUCCUCGAAAGCUAUUUAGGUAGCGCCUCGGACGAAUACUACUGGGGGUAGAGCACUGUUAUGGCUAGGGGGUCAUCGCGACUUACCAAACCAUUGCAAACUCCGAAUACCAGUACGUACUAUCCGGGAGACACACGGCGGGUGCUAACGUCCGUCGUGAAAAGGGAAACAACCCAGACCCACAGCUAAGGUCCCAAAUUCACUGCUAAGUGGAAAACGAUGUGGAAAGGCAUAGACAGCCAGGAGGUUGGCUUAGAAGCAGCCACCCUUUAAAGAAAGCGUAAUAGCUCACUAGUCGAGUCGGCCUGCGCGGAAGAUGUAACGGGGCUAAGCCAGUCACCGAAGCUGCGGAUAUGUCUUUGACAUAUGGUAGGAGAGCGUUCUGUAAGCCUGCGAAGGUGUCUUGUAAAGGAUGCUGGAGGUAUCAGAAGUGCGAAUGCUGACAUGAGUAGCGUUAAAGCGGGUGAAAAGCCCGCUCGCCGGAAGACCAAGGGUUCCUGUCCAACGUUAAUCGGGGCAGGGUGAGUCGGCCCCUAAGGCGAGGCAGAGAUGCGUAGCUGAUGGGAAGCAGGUCAACAUUCCUGCACCGGCUGCAAGUGCGAUGUGGGGACGGAUCAAGCUAGGUCAUCCGGCGGUUGGAAGUGCCGGUUGAGGCGGAAGUAGGCGACACGUAGGCAAAUCCGCGUGUCACAUACCGAGGCCGUCGCUCGAGCGAGCUUGCUCGCGAAGUGACCGAAUGGGGUCCCAGGAAAAGCCACUAAGCUUCAGCUUGCAGCUGACCGUACCGCAAACCGACACUGGUGCGCGAGAUGAGUAUUCUCAGGCGCUUGAGAGAACUCGGGAGAAGGAACUCGGC